UAAAGGUAGAGUGGGAGUGGAAAAAAGGAAAUUAGUAGCAAAGAAUCCACUCUUCCAGGCAAGGUUACCCUCCUAAGGCGAAGGGAAGGAAUCUGUCGGUGAGUUUCCCAGUGCUGAUCAGGAACUCUCCAUGCUGACUUGUUAAAGGUUACAUUUCUGGGGGGCAGAAAUUGCAGAUGGGUUAGGGCUUAAGUCUCAAUUUACUGCCUUAGGACCUUAACCUAAGUGAUACUAUUUUGGGCCUGUGGUUUUCUUUUGAACAGAAAUAAUAACAAAAAGAAAUCUAGAAGAGCUUUGGGUAUUUGGAAACAAAGCAACGUGCUACUAAAAAAUUCACAAAUCAAAGAAAAAUCCACAAGGAAAAAUUUUAAAUAUUUUAAACUAAGAGAAUGAAAAUACAACAUACUUGCAGUUUUCCUUUCCACGGUUUCAGCUACUCGUGGUCAACCAUGGUCCGCAAGCGGAUGAUCCCCAUCAGAAGCACAAAGACGGGGUCAGGCAAGCACACCGAGAGGAUGGCCCCCUACCUCCACGCCAAGAGAAGAGGCCUUAUAAUGAAACCUACCUUGCUGGCACCUUGAUCUUGAACUUCCAGCCUCCGGAGCUGGAAGAAAUAAAUUUCUGUUGUUUACAGCACGGAGUCUAUGGUAUUUUGUCAUGGUAGCUCAAGCCGAUUACCGUACCAUGGGACCUAUACAAAGAACAAA